AUUUCAUUCUACUGAAAAACUAUGGGUUAUUGAUAUACAGAGCCUAGCUAAAUAGAGAAGAUGGAAGGAUUCGUUGUCAACAUAUACACAUUCCUCUCAAUCUUAUCACUUGCUGCAAUCGGAUUAGGAUUAUUCUAUACGUGCAUUGACUUUGAGUUGAAAUUAUCACAUCCAAACUUUACUCCGG